CAUGUCUUUCUUACAUGUUCAUGUCCCCUGUUCUUAAUGAUGCCUCCGCUACAAUGCUUUUUUUCGUGAACGCUUUUUUUCUUUCUUAGGCGUAUUUGUAAGGAUGAGGUAUUGUACUUUUUUUCUUCUUAGGCGUAUUUGUAAGGAGAGGUAUUGUACUUUUUUUUUCUUCUUAGGCGUAUUUGUAAGGAUGAGGUAUUGUACUUUUUUUCUUCUUAGGCGUAUUUGUAAGGAUGAGGUAUUGUACUUUUUCUUCUUAGGCGUAUUUGUAAGGAUGAUGAGGUAUGUACUUUUUUCUUUCUUAGGCGUAUUUGUAAGGAUGAGGUAUUGUACUUUUUUUCUUUUUUUUUUUACAAAUAUAAGGUCUGCCUUGUUGAGAGAUGCUUGUGUUCUUGUUCAAAGUGCGCCACGAUGCGUGAGGA
rnacentral:lncRNA from 1 species